UCAUUGUUCAAAAUCUGUUUCUAAAUUUUCGAAAUGUUUCAUUUUUAAUAAGUACACAGCGAUUUAACCAUGUUAUCUUUGUGAGAGGUGUAUAAUCAUAAAAACUUGGUACUAAAUUUGCUUAUCCUCAAAUAUGGUAAUAUUAAAAAGAAUAUUUUUUUUUUUUUUAAUAUUAUAUAAUAUUAAUAUAUAUAGUGAAAAAUUAUUGAAAGUUAAAUAUCAUUUUUCUGGCCAAAAAUGUUAAAUGACUAAAAAGAGAAUAGCCUAAAACUACUUAUUAAAUAUAAUAGGUAUUGUUCAUGGUUUUAUUUGAACUAAAGCCGGUCAUUGGAAUGUUUAUAAUUUUUAUAGAAAAAUUCAUACUCAUAUCAUAUUUAGUGUGUAAAGAUGGUGUUUACUUCUGUUUUUUUUUUAUAUAUAACGUAGCCAGGGUUUGAUACCAUAGAAUAAAUACAGAAAAAUUCAAAUUUUUACGAAAUUUAAAAUGUUACAGAAAAUGAACUACCACACAUUAAUAAAAAAUUUUUAACCAAAUUAUUUUUUAAAAGCUGUUUUGAAAUUUUUAAAAUUAUGCUUUUUUUAAUUUAAUUAUAAAACUGAUAUUAAUAUAAUUAUUAUUAUAGCCCUCAAGUAUAUAAACUAUUAAAAAAAUAAAAUUAACUGGAUCAAAAGUUAUUUAAGUUGUCAGUGAAUGCUUGGCCACUCUGUAUAUAUAUAUUAUUAAAAAAGCUUUGCACAAAAAAUAAUGAAUAUAAAAAAUUAUUUGGUUAAAAAUGUAUUUUUAGACUUAAAAUAAGCCCAUGGUUAACGUAAAUUGUAGCAAAAUUACCAUAUAACUAUUUUAUAUGAAUUUUCAUAAUAUUCAUGUAUAAUUCAAUAAAACAUGGGGAUAUAAAGCAUUUUACUUAUUAUAGGAACUUAGCCAUAGAAUUUACUGAAACCGUGGUAUAAAUUGGGUUAUAGGGAUUGCCACGAACUGAUAAUGUUCUGACAUUCAUAUAUUCCAACAUUGUAAAAAAAUCCUCCAAAUACAUUUAUUCCGACAAAAAUUACUGCAAAUAGGAUAAUUAAUUAAUUGCUCCGAAUAAAAUUUACUCCGAAUAUGGAUAAUUCGCGAAAUCGAUUAAUAUAAUUAUCAAAUAUGAUAAAGUAGACGAAUAUCGUAGAAAUAUAAAUAAUUAACAUAAAAUAGUGUUAUAAUUGUUUAUUGUCUAUUUACAAUAAAGAUCCUUGAAGUAUAUCCGGCUUUCAAAAUAAUAUGUAUUAUAGGGUGAAGAAGAGGGCAUUAAAUUAAAACAACCAGUGAAGUUGAAAAUGUUCUACGUUCUAUAAGCAUUUUUUAGAUUUGAACCCCCCUUGUAUAUAGGAAAAUGGUCCGAUUUAAAAAAAUAGUAUGUCGAAUGAAUGAUGUAUAUAAAUACUACUUCUCAUGAAAAAAUUGUAUUGAUCCAUACAUUUUUCAAAAAGUUAUAGCAUAAUAAAGUUAAAAAUGUGAAAUACAAAAUCGAGAAUUUUCACACAAAAAUAACAUUCGGUAGCCAUUUUCACCGUGAAGAUAAAAUGAAGUCCGAAAUUUUUUUUCCAUUAUCAAGUAUAUUACAUUAGCUUUAAUUUAAGAUAUAUAUAAAAGUGUCAGACUUUCCGGAACAUUUUCAAAAGUCAAGUUGAAAAAGUUGUCAUUUUAAAUCCCUCCUGAGGACAGGUUUAGGGUCAGAUUUAAAAAAAAAUAUACCAAAUGAUAAGGUAGAACAUUAUGAAUCUAUUAAAAAAAAAUUAUAUUGAUUUGUUCAAUUUUUAAAAAGUUAUGGCAGUUUUAAGUAAAAAAAAUUUCAAAAAUUACCGAUUUUUAAAUUUGUAAUUGUUUUGGAGGUUUCCCCCAUUUACGGGGAACGAGGGAAUUUUUUUCAAUUUUUAAGGGUAAUGUCUUCGACUAGAUACGAUUUGUGAUCUUUUGACGUAUCAUUGAAAGAAAUCGGUUCGGUGAGAGCUGAGAAAAAGUGGUAACAGACACAAAAAAAAAAAAAAAAGAA